UGCACUCUUGCUUUGUUUACUCUCAAUGGAAGUUCAAGUCAGGGAUUGAACUUGUUAUAAUCGGUUCGCUUAACGAAGGGUUUUUAGGAACGUAACCCCUUCGUUAAGUGGGGGUUGCCUGUAUUAGUUUUGCCUGUUUCAGUAAAUGUCUUGACAUUAGUCAUGUUCAGGUCCUUUGUAUUGUUAGUCUAGACACAUGUAAAUAUCAGAUGAUUGCUUUGCCCAAAGUGGAAAAAAAAAAAAAAAAAAAAAAAAUCAGCAGAUUAGCUAAUAUGUUGAUAUUUUUCAGGAAACGGCCUCCCGCCUUGGUAGUGAAUAAGUGUUGUGUAGUAGCAUGGAGUUGUUUGGCUAUUGUCAUCAUGCUUUGCUGCAGGAAGGACUGUGUGAGCUAUUGGGAAUUAGAUUUGCGGAGGACUGACGACGACGCCUUGCUCUGCGGCGCCUGCAGGGUGAGGUUGAGGAGUUGUGGCUGAGGCAAGGCGGUGGUGCUGACGGGAGCCGCUGCUGCCAUGAUGACGUUUGGGGCUCCGUUCAUCAGGUUGAUGUCCGUUGUCAAGAUUUCUGGUUGGCCCAGCACAAUCUUGCUCACCUGAAUGAGGUAUCAGGAGGUUAUUCAGUAGAGUGCAGUACAAAAUGCAUCAAGUCCAGAAAAGUGAGAAUGUUAGGUGGUUAGAAAGUAUAAAUCUGAGAGCACGUCAGUAGCGAACUAAGAGUGAAGUGACGGUGUAGACUGAGUGUCGAGAAGUGAUGAUGAGUGGCAGGUUUGUAAAUAUACUGUAUUUUUAGAUGGAUAACAAAACACACACAGUGAUAAGAUAUGUAGGCAGUAGAUGUACAGUGAUAAGAUAUGUAGGCAGUAGAUGUAGGAGUCAUGAGUGAAUGGAAAAGUGAGAUAAACAGAGGUGAAGUGGGUGGGUGGGACUGGAAUGAUACUGGAAAAGGAGGCCCAGAUACAUGAGAGGUGGUAUGAUGGCAGUCUGGGUGACAUUCUCUUCCACGCUAGGGCAAAGUGUAUGAAGUGAAUGCAAGAAACCACAGCUGGUCUGAGUCCCCACAACAAUGUGUGUGCCAUGGAAGAGGAUGAGACACCUGAGGGAUGACAUGCAAGUGGAUGUCAUGAGUCUGUGAUGAUCAAAAGGGAAGGACAGAAGAGGAGGAGUUGCUUUUGUGUAUAGGAAGGAAAGGAAUUUUGAGUGUGGUAGAGUGCAUAGGAAAUGUGAAGGAUUGGUAGAGUGAUUGUGGUGUACAUGACAGUAGAGGGUGAGAGAGGGUGAUUGUUAUGGGAGAUAGGUAUGCACAUGUAAGUACACUAGGCAAGCAAAUGAAGAUGAAUGAUGAGAUUGAAAGGUUUUCUUAGUGAAAUGUAUGUGAAGAAACUCAAUGAUACCCUGGCUGAAGGAGGGGUGACUUUUUGCACUAGGAACCUGGAGUCUAUGAUUGAUUACAUGUUGGUGAAUAGAAUUGUGAGAUUAUGGACUGCAUGUGUACUGCUGAGGAUGAAAUGCUUCCUGGCAAUCAUUCUCAAUAAAUCCAUUGACACCA